GGAGGAGCAGCGGGGUGAAACUGACACAGGUCUGGUGAUUUCACUUUGCUGCUCCUCCUGAUUUUCA
ensembl:miRNA